UGGGGAAUAUUGGACAAUGGGCGCAAGCCUGAUCCAGCAAUGCCGCGUGAGUGAAGAAGGCCUUAGGGUUGUAAAGCUCUUUCGGCGGGGAAGAUGAUGACGGUACCCGCAGAAGAAGCCCCGGCUAACUCCGUGCCAGCAGCCGCGGUAAUACGGAGGGGGCUAGCGUUGUUCGGAAUUACUGGGCGUAAAGGGCGCGUAGGCGGUGCGGUAAGUUAGGCGUGAAAGGCCCGGGCUCAACCCGGGAACUGCGCUUAAAACUGCCGCGCUCUGAGUCCGAGAGAGGAUAGCGGAAUUCCCAGUGUAGAGGUGAAAUUCGUAGAUAUUGGGAAGAACACCAGUGGCGAAGGCGGCUAUCUGGCUCGGUACUGACGCUGAGGCGCGAAAGCGUGGGGAGCAAACAGG
rnacentral:rRNA from 1 species